rnacentral:rRNA from 1 species
UACGGAGGAUGCAAGCGUUAUCCGGAAUGAUUGGGCGUAAAGCGUCCGCAGGUGGCUAUGUAAGUCUGCUGUUAAAGAGUGAGGCUCAACCUCAUAAGAGCAGUGGAAACUACAUAGCUAGAGUGCGUUCGGGGCAGAGGGAAUUCCUGGUGUAGCGGUGAAAUGCGUAGAUAUCAGGAAGAACACCGGUGGCGAAAGCGCUCUGCUAGGCCGCAACUGACGCUGAGGGACGAAAGCUAGGGGAGCGAAUGGG